rnacentral:rRNA from 1 species
UGCCAGACUCCUACGGGAGGCAGCAGUGAGGAAUAUUGGUCAAUGGGCGGAAGCCUGAACCAGCCAAGUCGCGUGAGGGAAUAAGGCCCUACGGGUCGUAAACCUCUUUUGCCGGGGAGCAAGGGCCGGGACGCGUCCCGGCCCGGAGAGUACCCGGAGAAAAAGCAUCGGCUAACUCCGUGCCAGCAGCCGCGGUAAUACGGAGGAUGCGAGCGUUAUCCGGAUUUAUUGGGUUUAAAGGGUGCGCAGGCGGGCUGUUAAGCCGGCGGUAAAAAUUCAGGGCUCAACCCUGUCGAGCCGUCGGAACUGGCAGUCUUGAGUGGGCGAGAAGUAUGCGGAAUGCGUGGUGUAGCGGUGAAAUGCAUAGAUAUCACGCAGAACGCCGAUUGCGAAGGCAGCAUACCGGCGCCCAACUGACGCUGAGGCACGAAAGCGUGGGGAUCGAACAGGAUUAGAUACCCUAGUAAA